UAUAAUAUUUGAAUCUAUAUUAUGUUAUUUAUAGUCAUUGGCAUUGGUGUUUAGUCCCUUGACUUUUAUAGCAGUCCAUGGUGACAUGAUGAAAAAGGAAAUGGAGGCAAGUGCUCUGCUGGGGUCCAUGGCUUUGCAGUGAAGCUUAAUGUGGUCUCAAGGUGUAUUAGGUUUUCUACUCCUUCAGUGGAGCUUAUGAAGUUCUAAGACUGCUGCAGAAGGCUUCAUCUUGAAUUCAGAUCACUCUUCUCUUCCUAGCUUGGAAGAGAGAGAAAGAAAGAAAUAGUGAAAGAUAGAAAGGGAUAGAGUGUUCUACUCCGCCAUUUAAGUAUGUGAUGAAAAGAGCACAAUCCAUGUAUGUAAGAGGCUAAUUCAUGUUACAAAGGAAACUUGUUUGCUAAAAGAAGAGAAACCAUUGUGUUAAAGAAGGUGAAGUCAAAAACCAUGAAGAUUACAUCAGUGAACUCAUUAGGAGGUUGAACUAUGCUUUUAAAGAUUAUGGUUUAUUUUUGUAGUCUUGAUACCAAUGUUUGUUCUUAUGUUAGAAUUAGAAAUUCUUAUUGAAA